rnacentral:lncRNA from 1 species
CUAGUCAUAUAUACAAGCUGGCAGAGGCCAGGACAGGUCAUUGUUACCUGUUCUCUCUGGAAAGGCAAGAGUGAGACCAUAUCCUAAAGAUUUAUAUGGGUUUUUUGAAGUAUUUUUCUUUCUUUCUUUCUUUUAAUCAUUGUGUUCUUUUGAUGUUAAGAGGUCUCAGUCCCUGAUAUCUGGUCUUGGAAUGUCAGGUCUUGAACAUUUCAGAUAAAUGAUUCUACUGUGUAUAAUGAAGUCAAGGUCAGGACAGAUGCUCUAUGGCUGAAUGGAUCUAGUUGUCUGAGGGUGGAGACCAGCCUCCAGUGUAUUGACUGGGACUCUAUGUGGUCUGGAGGCUCUGAGAGAAUGAGGGGGCAGGUGAUGGUGCCUGGGAGACCUCUCACCACAGUUGAAGUGAAAUGUGGUUGUUAAAUUUUCAAAAACCUUAAAGUUGCCUUUAUAACUGAGAUCUCCUGUGAGGUUUAUUCCUUUGGACUUCUCAGAGGGAAUUUAAGGCAGAUAAUGGAGAUCAUUCUCACAAAGGUAAUGUGGGUUCUUUUGGGAUGCUGGGAACAUCUGGUGCCAGGAAUACAAACAGUGAGGACAAUGGGUGUUGUAAUAACACACAAAAGGUUGCAAAGUGCUUUGAUCCAGACUAUUUUAAAGAGUGCUACAAAUGCCACUGCUGUAAAUGAAGUAAGGAUGCAAGGUUUCUUCAUUCUGGCUGGACUGCAUCUGGCUGGGACUCCAUAUGUCUUCAGCUAUUGCUCAUGAUGAGUGAUUCACAGGAUGGCUUUAUUCAAGAUAGAGAAAGGGAGCAAGGAAGUGACAUGUGCUUUUAGGGUAGGCCAAUGAUUGUGAUCUGAAAAAGGCCUAUUAUGUCACUUUUUCUUUCAAAUCCCAGUUUAACUUGCAAAAAGAAAGAUGUCUGAUAAUAAACGCCUUUUAAAAUGGCUUAAACAAGACUAUUAUAGCAACACAAGCAUGGCAGACCUGGCUCUGUCAUCCUUUCUGUUUACAUAUCUGUGAUCUCUGAAAUUAUAGGUCAAGUUGAAAGCAAUGCAAUCAUUGUGGUUAUUUCAUCUGUUCAUAAGAGCAGGUCAGUGUUUGAAAUGAAGUAUCUUUCAUUUGAUUCUUGCACAAAUGAACCUUGUCAUUAAAAGAGUUACUUAAAUGGCAUUUGUUAAUUUUGUGCUAACCUUCUUUUUGGAGGUGGGGCAGUUCUACUUGUUAACAUCAGCCACUAUAAGAAUGAGACUCCCAGUCCUGUCCCUUCACACAGGUCUCACCUGAAGCUGAUGAGGACAAGGGGGUUGCUCCAUGUAGCUGGGAUCCAGGCACUUGGAUUGAACGAGGCUCUGAUGUUUCGAUGCAUGGCAUUUAUGGCUGGCCUGGUGCUGAUGUCCAACAGGGAAAAGGGAGAGAAGGGAAAGUAUGAGAGGAUCACAUGGGAGGUUUACUUGGACCAGACUUGGAGGUGGCAUCUUCACUUUCACCAUGUCCUGUAAGCCUGAAUCUCAUCCCUUGACACCUGGAUGCUGCGUUCCCUAGGGCAUGUCAUCACUUUGCAGCAACAUCUCUUCUCUGUAGAAGUUGGAUGACUGGCCAUCUCUGCCAUCAGUGUCAUGUGAGACGAGCAAAUAGUAUAUAGGAACUUGCCCAGCAUUGCGAGGCAUUGUGACCCCUGAUGCUGGAUUUUAUCUCUUCAUGGAGUAUCUUCUGCUUCUAAGUUUCCCCAGCCUGGCCGGUCCUCUGAGGUUCCCUGGCUUCCCAAAUGGGAGGAACUGCUGCUGUGGAGAAGGACUCCAGGAUAGCGUGACCUGCAAGGGGAAAUUGAGAAGCACAGGCAACUGAGAUUGGCCAUGUUACUGGGUGCCCUCCUGUCUCAUCCAGUGACAAAUGCAACCACAGCCUGAGGAAAUUUAACACCAUCUCAUCAUGAUAUGCAGUCAUUCUCCAUUUUCCACCUGUUUAGUUGGACUUUAAGGAUAAAGAGAAGAUCCUAAAUAAGAUAGCUGAGAUUUCAGACCAAGAUAUCAUGGUUGAUUCUAAUAUCAAAACACAAAAUGAUUAUAUUCUCAAAAGGAUUAAGAAAAACCUUUGAUUUUUGGUGGCUCAUGCCUGUAAUCCCAGCACUUUGAGAGGCCAAGGUGGGUGGAUUGCUUGAGGUCAGGAGUUCAAGACCAGCCUGGUCAACAUGGUGAAACCCUGUCUCUACUAAAAAUACAAAAAAUUAGCUGGGCGUGGUGGUAGGUGCCUGUAAUCCCAGCUACUCAGGAGGCUGAGGCACGAGAAUCAUUUGAACUUGGGAGGCGGAAGUUGUAGUGAGCCAAGAUCACACCACUGCACUUCAGCCUAGGUGACAGAGCAACACUCUGUCUCAAAAAAAAAAAAAAAAAACAUAAAAAUAGAAAUAAAAAAUAAUAAUAAUAAAAAGAAAAACCUUAGAUUUUAUUCUCAUGUAGAGGUCUCUGUAGAGCAAAUGCACCAGGUAGUUCUCUAUCUAAUUUUGGACUGUGUGGGCAUACUCUACUUUUUAUAUUACUUGCCAAACUUCUUCUAGUUCAGAGACUCUAAAAGGAUUGUCUUUUAUGACAAGCCAGUUUAAAGCCUACAGUCAAACCUUUUUCUACUUCAUUGAACUUUAGAAACUCCUAUUGUUCUACACCUCUGUCUUAUUUCUCUUGCCAUUUCUGUUUAUAUUGAUUGGUCUCAGGAGUGACCUAUAUGACACAUUAUCCAAAGCCUCUGUGUUCAUGAACUAUAUAAUUGUAAGAAAAACGGUUAUCCUGUUUUUGAACUAUAUGGGCUUUCAACUUGACAUCCACCCAAUCAGUGAAUUCAGAUUCUAUUCAGUCAGAGGAAUAAAUGAUGUCAAGAAAAAAUAAGUGGUUAUAACUGAGCAAAAUAUUUUACUAGCAAAGAAAACAAUCCUAAUGGGGACAUUUGCAUGUUCAGUCAAGGUGUAAUUAAAUGCCUGCAGAAAAAUAACUGAAAAUCAUACCUGUCUCAGUGCUUUUAGACAGGGUUAUAAUGUGCAUUGAUUUUGUUUCUUGAUGAUGAAUUAGCCCUUGCAUUUCUGAGAGUUGAAUUUGUGAAUGCAGAAACACCAACAUGUUUGCUACUUAGUUGAGGACCAAGAAAUUGUCUUCAGCUCUGCAUCAGUUUUGGUAGAAGCAAAAAUUGCAACAAAGAGAUGAAUAGAAAAGUUGUUUCAAUAAUCUAGACAUUUAUUUCUCCCUCACAUAACAGCCCAGAGCUAACCAGAUAGCUCAGGGUAGAUUAAGUGGCAUUGCUCUCUGAGGCCACCCUGUUACCAGGUUCCUUAGGUGGCUCUGCCAUCCUCAACAAGUAGAUAUCUCAGGGUCCAAGCAGGCUUCUCUAGCAGUUGCCAUUUUCCAGCCAGUGAAAAGUGGGAAAGAGAAAGUGGAUGUAAGCAACUUCCUAGCGUGAUGCAGAAGUUGCACAUAACUUGCUGCCUGCCUUUAUUAACUAAGUAGCAGUCAUGUGGCCACACCCAUGUGCAAGGAAGGCUGAGAAAUGUCUGCAUUUUAUAGGUCAGGAAACCUAUAUAUGAUAAAUCAAUGGCUCUAUAUUAUAGAAUAGUAACAUCCUAUUUUAUGACUCUUGGUCCAGAGUUCUUCCAUCAUACUACUCAACAGGCAUUAUUAUGCUCUUUUAGAGAGCUAUCUAAGGAGAACACAAACUCCUUAGAUAAUUUGUACAUCCUUCAGGUGGCAGCUCAUAAGAGGCCUUCUUUAUGAUGCCUUCCCUGACUACUGAAAGAUUGCAGUGUUCCUAGGGCUCCCCCUGAAGCUGGUUUCCCACUAAUGUCUCAUGGUUGGGGUAAGCCAGAGACACAUAGCAUGGUGGUUCUCAAGCUUCCUGGUCUCCGAUCCUUUUUACAUUUUUAAAAACUGUUGAGGACACAAAGAGUGUGUGUUUAUGUGGGUGAUAUCUAUAUUUUCCAAGUUAGGGAAUAAACCCGAGAAGAUUAAAAAUAUAUAUUUAUUAAAUCCAUUUAAAAAUGAGAAUGACAAUUAUAUGACAUAUACAUAAUACAUUUUAAUAAAAAUACCUAUAGGCCAGGUGUGGUUGCUCACGCCUGUAAUCCCAGCACUUUGGGAGGCCGAGGUGGGUGGAUCACCUGAGGUCAGGAGUUCGAGACCAGCCUGGCCAGCACGGCGAAACUCCGUCUCUACUAAAAAUACAAAAAUUAGCCAGGCACGAUGGCGGGUGACUAUAGUCCCAGCUACUCGGGAGGCUGAGGCAGGAGAAUCGCUUGAACUUGGGAGGCAGCGGUUGCAGUGAGCCGAGAUCGCAUCACUGCACUCCAGCUUGGGCGACAGAGUAAGACUCUGUCUCAAGAAACAAAAACAAAAACAAAAACAAACCCUAUAAUUUCUCAAACAAAACAAAACCAAAAAAAAAAAAAGAAGGAAAAAGUGACAUGUGUUACUUUUUUGUGGUUGUGUUACACUUUUGCUAAUUAAUGUCUGGCAUAAUAGGAAAGCAGUUGGAUUCUCAUAUCUAUUUCUGCAUUUAGUCUGCUACAAAUGUGUUGUUUUGAUUGAAGUAUAUAAAGAAAACCCAGUCUCACACAUAUAUGUAGUUAGAAAAUGGAUAUAUUAAUAUCAAAAGGCUUUUCAGAAAAUUGUGGAUAUUUGUCUUUGAUACUAUACCAGAUUGGACCAGUGACAGUUUCUUAAAGGCUAAUUGCAGCGUGAAGUCUGAAACCCUGCCAAUAUCGUUUUAUACUCCAUAACAUUCAAAUCCAAUGGGUUCUCUCACUUUGGAUGGAGCUUUAUAACCCAUGUAUGCUUCUGAACCUUCAUGCAUUGGUUAUUUGGAAAACAUUGGUUCACCAAGUUAUGCAGAUUUUCCAAAUGUCAAUGCAUUUCAUUACAUGAUAUCAAAAAAUUAUAUUUGUUAGAAGGACUACUGACUUUACCAUGAAAGUCUUUAUUUUGGAAUGUUCUAAAAUUUAAGUUUUGGCUUGAAAGAUUGGAUCUUAUAUCAGCAAGAAAUACUGUCAGUUGUUUUCCUUGAAGUGACAAGCUCACUUGGUUCAUCUUGGAAAAAAUAAGACCCAAUUCUGAAUAGCAAUAGGUGGUUUGCAAUAUUUCUUUAAGUAAAAAUGGUGUCGUAUGAAAGAAGUGGUUAGUACAGCUUGCGACUCAAAUGAUCACAUGUAUUUUUGUGUGGCACAACUGUUAUACUUUCCCGUGCAGCUGAAGUGCUUCAUACAUACUUCCUAUUUCAUCACACAGAAUAUUACAAAGAUGCAUACUCAAAGGUAGAGACUUAAAGUUAAUAAUUGUUACAGCUUCAUCAAUAAAGUGAAGUGCUUAUGUAAAACUGGCAAUUUUUUUAAACUUCAGCUUUGAGCUCACUGACUUCUAGCACAGUUUGGUGUCAUUGUCUGAUUCCUGCUAAACACCAGCAAUUUAACCCACCAUUAGUGCAAAUGGCCGAAGAAGAACGAGAUCAUGUCCUUUGCAGGAGCAUGGUUGGAGCUGGAGCCCAUUAUCAUUAGCAAACUAAUGCAGAACAGAAAACCAGAUACCCCAUGUUCUCACUUAUAAAUGGGAGUUAAAUGAUGAGAACACAUAGGCACAAAGACGGGAACAAUAGACAAUGGAGCCUUUCGAGGAUAGAGGGUGGGAGGAGGGAGAGGAUCAGGAAAAAUAACUAUUGGGUACUAGGCUUAGUACCUGGGUGAUCAAAUAAUGUGUACAACAAACCCUGGUGACAUGAGUUUACCCAUGUAACAAACCUGCACAUCU